GUGCUCACUUUGGCAGCACAUAUACUAAAGUUGGAAUGAUACAGAGAAGGUUAACAUGGCCCCUACACGGCAAUGACUCGCAAAUUCAUGUUCCAUAUUUAU